AACUCGAGAAGUGAAUCGGAACCACUUCUGGACGAGGGAGGUAGCCCAUCUCAGUUUGUUCGUGACAUAGUUCGCGAUGUGUGCUCAAAGAGGAAGACAGUCAAGGUUUCGAGUCUUGUGAGGAGGAAAAGGGUGAAAAAAUGUAAGACGGCUGUUCUGGAUGAAGAGGAGGAAGCUUCAGAAAGUGAAGAUGAUGAGGAAGAAGACCAAGAAACUGGUGAUGAAGAAGAUUCCGAUGAUGAAGAAGAGGAGGAAAUUGGUGAGAUGCCUUCACCUGAAAGACGCAUUCAAGGGGUUGAACCAGGGGAAGAGGCUGAGCUAGCAAGGGUGACCGAAGAAGCGAGGGAGGCUUUGCAAGUCAAAACGAGCAGCUGGACCACUUCCAGAUGAGGCAGAUCACCCAUCUCAGUUUAUUCGUGACAUAGCUCGCGAUGUGCGCUCAAAGAGGAAGAUGGUCAAGGUUUCAAGUCUUGUGAGGAGGAAUAGGGUGAAGAAAGGUAAGUUGGUUGUUCUGGAUGAAGAGGGGGAAGCUUCGGAAAGUGAAGAUGAUCAGGAAGAAGACAAAGAAAGUGGUGAUGAAGAAGAUUUUGAUGAUGAAGAGGAGGAAGAAAUAGGUGGGGUGCCUUCACAUGAAAGAAGCACUCAAGCGGUUGAACCAGGACAAGAGGCUGAGCUGGUAAGGGUGGCCUAAGAAGCGAGUGAGACUCGGAAGUCAAAACGACCAUCUGGGAAGAAGAAGGACAAAGAUAGUAUCUACUAUUAGCAAUG
rnacentral:lncRNA from 1 species